rnacentral:lncRNA from 1 species
AACACUUUAUGGGGGAUCUUACAUAAGGGUCGUCAAUGGGUCGGGCCGGCCUAAUUCGUUUUUUAUUUGGUUGAGCGGUCGGGCUGUCCCCCCCAUGGGUCAAAAGAUGAUACUCAUUUCUGUUCACGGGUCUGGACCUACAGGUUGGCCUAGGCAAGCCUACGAGCUUUUAAAAUAUUUUUAAAACAUAAAUUUUAUUUAAAUUAAAAAAUUAAAAAUAUCAAAAAAAAAAAAAUUAAUGCGUAAUUCAUGGAAUCAUCCAUUAGCAUAGAUAUAAUAUUUACGUAUAAAAUUAUUAAAUUUAUAUAAAAUAAAUACACUAGAGGUAGGUCACAGUUGGGCCAUUUGGGCCAAGCCACUGACUUUAAAAUUGGAUUCAGACUCAGCACAUCAUCUUAAGUUUGGAAUUUGAGAAAUAGACGGGCAUGAGUCGCCGAACUUUGUGAUGACCCUUAAUCUUACACCACCUGGUCCAUUCACCUAAACACCAUCCUCUCUUCCCCUAUUUCCUUUUUUUUUUUUUGAUGUGCGUAAGAAAAGCCCUCUAAAUUUCUUAACCAAAUGUCGCAUAGACACAUAAAAAUUCAAAAAAUAUCAAUUAACACCUGAACUUGAAAGAUUUGUCAUCACGUAUGGCCUUUGAGCUCAAAUCAGUUAGAAAUUGAACAGAACAGUCAUGUGGUGUUGGUGCUUAAUGACACACAUGACGUGAUUGGAACCCUUAAUGCUUUAAAGGGGGGAGUGAUAGUAAAUUGGAUUAUUUUACACUUAAUGAUUGUCGAAUUAGUGGAUAUAAUUAGAUUGUAGAUUCAAUCAAAGAUGGUGUGGCGUUUUAGAGGGCAGAAUUGCAGGCCUCCAAAGCAUUGGGGUUUCCAAUUUAGCGUCACUGUGUGUACAGCUAAGCCCCAACGUAGACUAUUUCAUCGGAAUGUGAGCUUAGGGGUUUAAUUGAUAACAAACUUCUAAGUUCAAGUGUUCAAUUGAAUUUUUAAAGUGUAGAUAUGUUGUGUUGAUGUGUUAUUACCGCAAGGUUUAAGAAUUUUUUAUAUUUUUCCAAUCUUUUCACCACGAAUCCUUUCGUCAUGUUGUCGUCAAAUCUUACACAAUUCCUCUCUCCUCAGUUCUUUAGUGAAAUGAGUAUUCAUGAUAUGUUGCAAAGCAAUCGACUUUAAGUAUGUCUCAUAUUAUGAUAUCCAUUUAUUUGAUUUUGAUAAGCUUUAAAGGCUAUGUUAACACCGAAAGGUGUACAAAAAAGAGGGGGGAAUUUGUUGGUCAGUAGUGGUGUUAGUGGGCAGGAGGGAGUUAGUGUUAUUUUAAAGUUAAGGGAGUCUUCUGUUAAAUUGAUUCAAGAUUUUUUUAGCAUGUGUGUCCCCCACUGAUUUGGUACAUCAUAGCCACGUUCACACUUGGGUGUUCAUGUUUGAUUGUACAGAUUCUUGAAUUCGUUAUCGGCAUUAUAUUUUUUACUUUUAAAAAGUAAUUAUAUGUAAAUUAAAUUCGGUUAAUGGAACAUAGAUAACUUAGAAUUCAAAUUUCAAAAAAUAUAAUUUCUAAGUAAAUUAUAAAGAAUAUUUUAAUAAAAAUGGUAUUAUUGUGUUUUUCGAAUUAAGUUCACUUAAGUAUUGUAUAUUAUUAAGUAAAUUAUACGAAUUGGUAUUGUAUUUUUACCUCUUUAUGCUCCUUACAAUAUCCAAGCCAAUUAUAUCUUUUCCAUACACUUGAUAUAUUCGAAUUUUUGUGUCUCCGAUAUUCACGACGGUUGGAGCUCAGUAGAGCUCAAUAGGUUGUAUUGAAUCCACGAAGUUUAAUGAAAGUGUUCUAUAAAUUAAAACCGCUAAAAUUGUUACCAAUAAACAUGAGUGGUGUUUUAUUCUAAAAAGAAAAUGAUAUAACGUUGUUGAGUUUUUUUUUUCCCCUUCUCAUCAUUUCCCAAAAUUGCACAAAAUUAUCUAUUCUAGCGUUUUAUUAAAGCAAUAAUACACUAUGUUUCCAAUUUCUGUUCUUCUUGUCCAUGCAAGUUGAAAUACAUAACAUUAUUGCUUCACAUAACAUGUGAGUUUAUUUUGAUAGUUUUAUAUAACUAAGAUAUGAUACAAAACACCACUGAAUAAGUUUCCUGGCUACACCCCUUCAUGUUCAUAUGAUUUUUGCUCCUCCAAACACCGUCCCAACUGGAACACGACAAUUGAUUGCCGUGGCAAUAGUUUGGCAUUACUAAAAUCGAUGCAAAAAAAUAAACAGAUGGUGUUCAUUUACUGAUAGAAAAGUAUAACUUUGUCUAGCACGGGAUUCAUAGGCGUUUACAAUAUACUGUCUUGUUUUUCUUACAUGAAAAACUUGUUGUCUCUUUUCUCUCUCUGCUGUUUUAUUUUAUUGAUCUCUCUUUCCGCCCGAUCAACUGGAAAUAGUAUAUAAACGUUCCCAAUUUUUUUUAUACUAGUACAUGUAAUUCGGAAGUUUAUUUUGAUAGAUUUAGUAUAGCUAAAUAUAUGACAUGAUG